AUUGAACGCUGGCGGCAGGCUUAACACAUGCAAGUCGAGCGGGGGAAGGUAGCUUGCUACCGGACCUAGCGGCGGACGGGUGAGUAAUGCUUAGGAAUCUGCCUAUUAGUGGGGGACAACAUCUCGAAAGGGAUGCUAAUACCGCAUACGUCCUACGGGAGAAAGCAGGGGAUCUUCGGACCUGGCGCUAAUAGAUGAGCCUAAGUCGGGUUAGCUAGUUGGUGGGGUAAAGGCCUACCAAGGCGACGAUCUGUAGCGGGUCUGAGAGGAUGAUCCGACACAAUGGGACUGAGAGACGGCCCAGAGUCAUACGCGAGGCAGUAGUGGGGAAUAUUGGACAAUGGGGGGAACCCUGAUCCAGACAUGCCGCGUGUGUGAAGAAGGCCUUAUGGUUGUAAAGCACUUUAAGCGAGGAGGAGGCUACUUUAGUUCAUACCUGGAGAUAGUGGACGUUACUCGCAGAAUAAGCACCGGCUAACUCUGUGCCAGCCGCCGCAGUAA
rnacentral:rRNA from 1 species